AUCUCUUCUUGGCCUUUUGGCUGAGAUCAAGUGUAGUAUUUUAGCAACUAACUUACCUCAUUACAGUAGCCAUUUAUAUGCUUUUGGAUGAAGCUGAUCUAAAAAAAAGUAGAAUUCCUGUCUACUAAAUAUUU
rnacentral:snRNA from 1 species